UUAGGUUUAUUUUCUUCGAAGCCCUCAUCGCCGGGACAGAAUGACUUUGGACAGCAUUCGGGAUACUCUUUCGCCUUAUCUUGAAUUAUGUAACAUGGCGCCGUCGUCUCCAGGACAGAAUGAUUUGGGACAACAUGCAGGAUAUUCCUUUGUCAAGUCCUCUUUCAAGUAACAAGGCGCACGAACUUUCUUUUGACCACAACUGUCCAAAAAAUGACAAACUCCUCUAGGACAACAUGCCGGAAAAGCCUUAAAAAGCUGUUCGACAACGUAACAUGGAGGAACUGCCAAAACCUCAGUGCAUCUAAAUAAUUUUUUUUUAUAAAAAUACAAAUCAAAUAAAUUUUUCAUCACUCACCGUUCCUUAGAACAAUUACAAUUCUGGUUGCAAGUUACUUGCGCACA